rnacentral:tRNA from 1 species
UGGGAAGUAGCUCAGUGGUAGAGCACUUACUUAACAUGGGCGAGGCCCUGGGUUCAAUCCCCAGUACCACAA